UUCAGCAGGUCGGUGUGUAGUAAUAUGGGGCAGGGGUGAUUCCUAGGACACAAAGGCUAUUUUGGCUUGGUCAAUGGCUGUUCUCUGAGGCGGACCAUAACUUUUACACACUUCUUGCGUCCCGUGGGAACUCAGAGAGAACAAUGUAAUUCAAAAGACACAUGUUGCUUUGGCAGUGGACUGAUCUGGUGCAGGGGGUUAACAGUUUGACAGUUAGAAUUUAGAAAUAUCAGAGAAGUCCCAUAUGAUUUGAGAUGAUUGCUUUUGUUUCAUUAUCUGUGCCUGACUUUCAUUAACAAUGAACUUCUGUGGUAUACUGGUUGGUGUCUUUUUUCUCUCUUUUUCUACAUAUACAUGUAACCUUUUAGGUGUUUCAGUCAUGGGAUAAUUUUAUUGAUUUAGUUUAAUUAAUUUUGUUUUUACUUUAAUGUUUUAUGAAUUAAACAGCUUGUAAAUACACUUUAUCAGUAGAAAAAAAUGCAAUAACCCAUUAAGCAUGAAAAGUAUGCAAUUAUGCAAGACAUUUCUCCUUACAUAGAAACUUUUUUGGCAGAAAGAGUUUUCAAGAACUCUUAGGAUUCUAUACUGAACCUCCUUGAACCUUUUUUUAAGAGUGUAUUUUCUAAAAAGCCACAGACAGUUUAUUUUAUUUCAAAACUGACAGGUGUUUCUUUAACUCUCGUCCAGGCAGGCAUAUUUUCUUCACCCAUUCUUAAAGUUAACAUUGAAAUUUCAUCCUUUACUCAAUGUGAAUGUGGGUUGUGAAGGGUCAAAAAAAAAAAAAAAAAAAAAAAAAAAAAAAACUUUUGAAGUCUUCUGUGAUGAACACCAAAAUUUAAGUAAUUAUUUUCUGGAAAAAAGAUGAGUUUCUAAUGUCAAUAGGGUAGCAAUGAAUAUGUUAAUGAAAAAGCCAUUAGAACAGAAAAGUAUCAUGCUAUUAUUAUUCCUCACUCUUUCAUGUCAUGAUUAUUUUAAUAGCUUUGCAAUGUUGAACGAAGUAUGUAAAUGUUUUUGGUACAAUAUGUAUUUUAUUAUAAGCCAACAAGUUUUACACAAUAUGAAGAUCCCUUAAACAUAACUAACACCACCUCUGUGUGACACAGUGAAUAAAAAUGAUUCUAAUCCAUAAUUUGACAUCUCUAAAACUAUACCAAAUCUCAGCACUAGGCGGCGCCAUUUUAUAUUACCCGACAGAGGAUCUUGCUUCUUUCCGAGCUUCUAACCUACCAUGAAUGCUGACCAGCGUGAUAUCUUUCUGUGGUAGGCUACUUCUUGAUAAAGAAAUAUUCUGCUGUAUACAGAAUCAUCUGAGGUGAUAUAAAGUGCGCAAUGCUUCACCAUUUCUUAGUCCAUGCAGCUUUUCAGACCAGCAGGUGGCUUCCAAGAGAUCAAAGGUUAAAAUUUCAGAUUGUUCUUUUCAGCUUUGUGGUGCUUUUCCUGGCACCACAGUUUUAUAUUUUGUCAAGGCCAAAAUCUUCUCGCUAUUGUGAAAAGCCAUUGUUGAGCAAUCUUAUAGUCUUCAUUGUGUUCUCAUUUAUAGCAACAGGUUUGGCUGUAGCGCUUACACUGACAGACCCAGUUCCCAAGAGCAUAAGGGUAGCGUUUCACUCAUUUGGACUGUUUGCGUUUAUCCAGGGACUUUGUACACUCAUUCUUACCCUGACUGCACCUCAAUGUGCGAACACCACCACAGAAUUGUAUAUAUUUUCUUUGGUAGUGUCUUGGGGCAGCAUACUCUCAACAGUUUUCUUUCUGGUCAGAGGAAGUCUUUGCCUGAUCCACAAACUGUUUCCGCAUUGGUUAAGAGAUACGUGCCUCUGGGGUUGAAAAUGAGCCGCUGCUGUACAGCCUUUCACUGACACUCAAUACAGUUAGCAAACAUCAUUGAAAUACUGCACGCUCCCCCUUCUGGAUUGGAGUGUGGAUCACCUGUGACUGACUGUAUUCGUCAUCUGACUCUAUCCACCAAACCGUGACGUCUGUGCCGUGAUGGUUCGAAUGAACACCGUUACACCCUUAUAUACUUCCAUUCAAAAUUUUGGGCUGGCCUGACAGUUUUUUGUCAAGGGACUGGGCACUAGCAAAGUCAUGACCAAAUGGCUUCUCCAGCACCACCCUCAGCCAUGCGUCAGGAGGGGGGCGGCAGGUGUUGUUGAUCUUCUCUGCAAUGUCUGCAUAUGCGAAA